CAGGUGGGGCGACGGAUACCUGUAAUCCCAGCACUUUGGGAGACUGAGGCAGGUGGGUUACCCCAGGUCAGGAGUUCAAGACCAGCCUGGCCAACACGGUGAAACUCCAUCUCUACAAAAAUACAAAAA